ACAGCAUGAUUUUGACGUCAAGUUGAAGAAUGCUACGCGUUUCCUGGCAGAUGGCGACAAGGUUAAGGUAACUAUUAUGUUCCGUGGCCGUGAAAUGUCCCACCCAGAGCUUGGUAAGGAUAUCCUUAGCAAGUUUGCAGAUGCGCUGAAGGAUUCAGUAACCGUAGAACGGGAUGCUAAGCUUGAAGGUAGAAAUAUGAUUAUGAUUUUAGCCCCUAAGGCUCAAACUAAAGGAGGAAAACAGUAAUGCAGAAGAUGAAAACUCGUAGAGCAGCUGCAAAGCGCUUUACUGUAACUGGUACUGGCGAAAUUAGAAGAAACAAGGCUUA
rnacentral:misc_RNA from 1 species